rnacentral:rRNA from 1 species
GAUGAACGCUGGCGGCGUGCCUAAUACAUGCAAGUCGAGCGAACAGACGAGGAGCUUGCUCCUCUGACGUUAGCGGCGGACGGGUGAGUAACACGUGGAUAACCUACCUAUAAGACUGGGAUAACUUCGGGAAACCGGAGCUAAUACCGGAUAAUAUAUUGAACCGCAUGGUUCAAUAGUGAAAGACGGUUUUGCUGUCACUUAUAGAUGGAUCCGCGCCGCAUUAGCUAGUUGGUAAGGUAACGGCUUACCAAGGCAACGAUGCGUAGCCGACCUGAGAGGGGGAUCGGCCACACUGGAACUGAGACACGGUCCAGACUCCUACGGGAGGCAGCAGUAGGGAAUCUUCCGCAGUGGGCGAAAGCUUGACGGAGCAACGCCGCGUGAGUGAUGAAGGUCUUCGGAUCGUAAAACUCUGUUAUUAGGGAAGAACAAAUGUGUAAGUAACUAUGCACGUCUUGACGGUACCUAAUCAGAAAGCCACGGCUAACUACGU